GGGUUGGCUCAGGUUUCCAAGUGACUUGGGGAUAGGGUUGCCAGAUAAAAUACAGGGCACCCAGUCAAACUUGAAUUUCAGAUAAAGAACAAACUUUUUUUUUCAGUAUUGCAUGGGACACACUUAUACAAAAAAAAAAAAAAAAUCAUUGUGUAUCUAAAAUUCAAAUUUAACUGGGUGCCCUGUAUUUUCAUUUGCUAAAUCUGGUUCCCCUUCUCCAAGAAAAUGACAGACUUUAUGUUGCUCUUUGCCACGAUCACUUCCAAAACACAUCCUGGCCCAAGCCCUUCCAACUUGAACGUUCUCUGUAAGCCAACAAAUGUCUGUGUGAAUUCUUCCUUUGCUGAAUGUCUCAAGUCUCUUUUUUUAUUGAAAUGGUAAUGCCGGCCACACCCUUACCUGAACAGGCUGGUCUCCUUCCCCUGACUCCUCCUCUGCCCUGUUUAUUGCUCAUUUCCCCUCCCCUGCCCUUGUCUUCUGGCCCAUUUCCAAAAGGGUCACAGCCAAAAACCUGUGCAUGGUUCACCACAACCAAGUAUUAACCAAUCAACAUGAACCAGCACUCCUCCCUCCUCCUCUUCACCCCCAGCCCAGUGAUAGUCAAUGCCCCUGCCUCCCUGGCCACCGAGACGUUGGAGAGCCAAUGGGCUGUGUCCAGUGGGAACACAGGAGCUGCAAGGACGGAGCCACCUGGAACCAGGAGGGACUAUGUUUGACCAAGGCUCAGUGGACUCACCACUGUGCCCAUGAGGAUUUUUACCUUCUGGACUGGCCUUCCCCACCACGUGCUGUGGGCCAUCCCUGCAACUUGGACCUAGGGCAGAAGUCUGUCCCCCUCUAUGUGGUCAAGAUGGAUGGUAAGAGAGCUGGACAGAUGGAGGCCACAGGGAGGCCUGCAGCUCGGGACCACACACAUGCAAGCCUUGUCCUUACCAGGGCGUGUGUCUGUCCUUACCAGGGCGUGUGACCAGAAGCUGGGGUUUGACGGGGCAACCACUACCCCAGGGAGGGCUCCCUGAGAAGUGCAUGCAAAUUCUGACACCCUUCAAUUUUUCAGAAAGUUGAAGCUAACAUGGACAAACCAGGCUGAACAGCUGCUGACUGUAUACAUGCUCUUGGGAAAACUCUUACCCCGGUGCCUGCAGGGUCAGAGGGAUCCCUGCCUUGUUCUAGGACUUGGCUUCCUGGGCCUGACCAGACCACAUGGUGAGCUACUACACUCCCUAGGCCUUCCCCUCGGGGAUCCCAGGCGUCCAGACCAGGAUCCAGGUGGGCAUCGCAGCUCACCUGUUGCCCCUCCUAUCCCUCCCCUACCCUUCCCAGGUCCCAGCACUAACCCGUCUGAAGAGUGGCGGCUCUCCCUCAUUCUCUGAAUCUUACCUAGGAAAGUCUAGGGAAGGACAUCUGGCCUCUUCUUGGUCACUGAGCCUCAACUCCACACAUCUUGAGGAUCUGCUGCCCGCAGAGCCAGGCAUCCGAAACCCCACAGUCUGCCUCCGAGCCAAUGAUACCCUGGCCUUCCUGGUGACUCAUGAGCAUUACCCAGAGUAUGACCUGUGAGUGUCCAGAGACCACAGCCCCACCAUCACGGAGGCCCUAGAGAGGAAAUGCCCCUGCAUCAGCCACCACUCCCAAAGGCAACGUAUUCCCUCCUUUCUCUCUCCCCAGUAGUCAUUUCUAUUACACACUGGAGCGAUUUGACUGGGGGCGCUUCCAGGCCCUGGCUGAGGAGUCCCAGCUCUAUGAACACAGCCUUAGCCUCUUCCUGCAGCAGUUCCAGCAGCCGGGCAUUUAUGUCUUUCGUCUGAGCAGCAACCGACAUCGGAAGAUGGUUUGUCUUCGAUAAUUUUCCUCAUCUAAGACAUUAUCCCAUUAUUUCCCCUCUCUUUAAAAAAUACUGCCGCAGGCCGGGCGUGGUGGCUCACACCUGUAAUCCCAGCACUUUGGGAGGCUGAGGCAGGCAGAUCACCUGAGGUUGGGAGUUCAAGACCAGCCUGACUAACAUGGAGAAACUCCAUCUCUACUAAAAAUACAAAAUUAUCCAGGCACUGUGGCACAUGCCUGUAAUUCCAGCUACUUGGGAGGCUGAGGUAGGAGAAUCGCUUGAACCCGGGAGGUGGAGGUUGCAGUGAGCCAAGAUCGCGCCACUGCACUCCAGCCUGGGCAACAAGAGUGAAACUCUGUCUCAACAAAAAAUAAAUACUGCCUCAUAACCAGCUAAGACAGAUCUGCAGGGAAGGAGAUGCCCUGAUGUCCCUGUCAGUUUCAGGGUCCUGCAAUGUUGACAGGUGGUCCUGGGGAUGCAAGGUUCAUUCCACAGCAGCCCAGCAUGUGCUGUGUAAGGAGGGGAAGGUUGGGAGGAUGGGAACACAAGUGUGUAUUCAGGGACAUCAAUGGCAUUGAGCGGCUUACGACCUCUAGCUAUCUCUCCCAACUCUCCAGUUUGUC
rnacentral:lncRNA from 1 species